rnacentral:rRNA from 1 species
AACAAACGCUGGCGGCGUGCCUAAUACAUGCAAGUCGAACGGGGAAAGCUUUCGGGUGAGUACUAGUGGCGCACGGGUGAGGAACGCGUGGAUAAUCUGCCUUAGAGUGGGGGAUAACUAGUCGAAAGAUUAGCUAAUACCGCAUAAGACCACAGGAACUGAGGUUCUAGAGGUCAAAGGUUUUUCGCUCUAAGAUGAGUCCGCGUAAGAUUAGCUAGUUGGUGAGGCAACGGCUCACCAAGGCGACGAUCUUUAACUGGUCUGAGAGGAUGAUCAGUCACACUGGAACUGAGACACGGUCCAGACUCCUACGGGAGGCAGCAGUAGGGAAUAUUGCACAAUGGAGGAAACUCUGAUGCAGCGACGCCGCGUGAGUGAUGAAGGCCUUCGGGUCGUAAAGCUCUGUCGCAGGGGAAUAACACAAUGAAGGUACCCUGUAAGAAAGGAUCGGCUAACUUCGUGCCAGCAGCCGCAGUAA